rnacentral:lncRNA from 1 species
CAACAUUUAAAUCAUCAGGGUCAGGAGACUUGUCAGAUUACAUUUGGAAAAGAGAUAGAAAAAGGGGCUAACAAAGAUUGAUUGUCCUCAUGAAAAAUGCAAGAACGAAUAUAAUCAACAUCAAUUACAUUUUUAGAACAAUCCGUUGAAAAUACACCCUUCAAAUAAUUUGUAGCAAUUCUGCCAAAGUCAUGAUGCUCAGAGAACAACACACCAUUUUUGUCUGACAUAGAGGUGAUGGAAUUUAUUUUCUUCUUGGUCGUGGCUGCAGAGUGGAAGAAUUUUGAGUUGAUAUCUCUCCCCUUGAGCCAAAAGGUUUUAGCUCGCUGCUUCCAAUACGCUUCUUCUUGGCCUAUGAGAUUAUUCAACUUGUUGUUUAUCUCUUUAUAACUUCUAGCAGAGGACUCAACUUGUGAAUUACGUAAGCAAGUUGCUGCCUACAGUCCUCAAUGGCUGGCCGAAAUUGAGUUCUAAUUUUCCUUCCCUAGAUAUUCAUAUAGUUGUGCAUGAUUUGAAUUUUUCCAUUACAUCGUUUGAGCAUGAAUUGAGCCAACCUUCGUGCACUAUCUUUUCUAAUUCAAGCUCAAGUAACCAGGAGUUUUCAAACCUGAAGUUGUUUUGAAAAUCCCUUCUUCCUGUAGAGUUGAGCUUUAGAAAGAUUCCGGAGUGUUCAGAUUUAGAUACAAUACCAUUGAUGGGUUUGAACUGGGGAAAGAUGUCAAUCUAAUCAAGAGUGGCUAAAGCCCUAUCCAACUUUUCUUCGAUGUAGUGUGGUUUUCCUUUUGUUUUUGCCCUAGUGUAUUUGUAACCCUCCAUUGGUAGAUCAUGGAGAUUACUAUCAGAGAUGGAGUCACGGAAUCCUUGAAUCAGCCAGUUUGCACGCUCAGAAUUACCAAUUUUUUCGUCAUUAAUUAGAAAGAAGAUCAUAUUAAUCUCCUAUAAUGCACUAGAGGGGAAGAGAGGAUGAAGAUAUAGAACAGAUGAGACUCCAUGAGUCUCUCCUUCUAUCACUUUCUGGGAAUCCAUAAAAACUUGUUAAUUGCCAACAAGGUUUUCCUGGAACUUGGACUUCAACAUUAAUAAAAUUUGUGGAUAAAUUUUGGAGGCUACAAGUAAAAGGUGUUUCCAAAAGAAAGCAAGACAACCGCUUCUACCAUUCGCGUUAACUGAAAAGCAAGAAUCAAAGCCAAUUUGCACUCUAAUGGCUUCAAUUCUUUGAGAGAGAACCAGAGUUUCAAAUAAGAAGAUAACAUAAGGAUGGUAAGCACGGAUAAGGUCUUUUAGUCUAGGAAUUGUGCAUGGGUUGUGUAGGCCCCAACAAUUCCAACUGAUGAUGCUUAUUGUCCCAGACAAACCCCCUCUGUCAGGGCUUGCCAAUAAAAAAGAUUGAGUAGUGGGAGAAGAAAGGAUUGGGGUGAAUUCGUUGGGAGGUUGAGGGUUAGGGUUAGGGUUAGUGUUUUGAGGGAGGCUACAUGUUGGUGAUGUGGCUAGGUUUGGACAUGUUGGUGAUGUGGUAUUCCUAUUGGUGUUUGGGCGUGAGGGAUUGGGGUAUUAAGAGGUUUGGACGUGGGGUUAUGUGAUGCGUUAAGCAUGGCUGAGAUGUGAGAGACGUUGAAUGGGGUUGGAUGGAAAGUCGUGGUUGGGAAAGUGUUUGUUGUUAAGGUGGUUCGAGCUAGGGUUGGGGUCUGGGGUUAGUUUCGGGUUUAG